GUAGGUAUAGUUUAACAAAAACGUUAGAUUGUGAUUCUAGAAACAGAGGUUAAAGUCCCCUUACCGACC
rnacentral:tRNA from 1 species